rnacentral:tRNA from 1 species
GAAAUGGCUCAGUUUGGUAGAGCGCUGCGUUCGGGACGCAGAGGUCGCAAGUUCAAAUCUUGUUUUCCCGA